AUGCGCGGUCUGCCUCCCGCGGCGGGCCGGGUCUCCAGGGAGGACCUGAGUUUUCUUCACCCAUUGUCAGGAAGGCGCCAUCGCCCUGGCUUUGGGGCUGGGGCCUCCGGGGAGGUUCCGGUAGGGGCGUUGGAGAGGCCGCUCUUUUUGCAAGGCCCGAGACGGCGGGCCCUGCGCAGGCCGCCCUAUUCCGCGCCCUCAGGGCGUCAGUAUCAGCCUGAGGCUGGAUACCCCCGCUGGGCCCGGAUGCCCCCGCUGGGCCCGGAGCAUCCUCCGGCGCUGCCCUCCCAGAGCCACGCAGAGGCUGAGGUGGCGCGGGGGCGGCCCCGGCUCCGCGAGAAGCGGCGGCAGCGAGGGCUGGAGGACCCGGGCUGCGGGGCUCCGGGGCGUCUGGCCUGGGUGGGACUGAGCCCAUCCAGGGACUGGGACUCUGGGAUUCUGGUGUAGGUGGAUCCGGGGCAGGCUCAGGACCAAGUCCCUCUCCUUCCACCAAGGAGCGCCCAGAGGCCGGCGGGAGCUCCAGGUUCACCUCCUCCUCCUCCAGGUGUUUACUUUUCCUUUAUUUCUGUGAGGCCAGAAAUUGUCGCCAUCCUUCACAUCGGUGAAUCGGGACCCUAACACUCAUUACCUCAGGUUUAUUGUUAUUGCCAUUAACAGUGUUGGUGGCAUUAUCACUAAGAUCAUCAUUGUUGUUAUUAUUGUCA